UACCAGCUCUCCGAGUGGUGUGGAUGUUUAUUGGGCCUAAAGCAUCCGUAGCUGGCUAGGCAAGUCCCCUGUUAAAUCCACCGAUUUAAUCGUUGGUGUGCGGGGGAUACUGUUCGGCUAGGGGACGGGAGAGGCCGACGGUAUUUUCGGGGUAGGGGUGAAAUCCUAUAAUCCCGGGAAGACCACCAGUGGCGAAGGCUGUCGGCUAGAACGCGCCCGACGGUGAGGGAUGAAAGCUGGGGGAGCGAACCGGAUUAGAUACCCGGGUAGUCCCAGCUGUAAACGAUGCAGGCUAGGUGUUUGGGCGGCCACGUGCCGCUCUAGUGCCGCAGAGAAGUCGUUAAGCCUGCCGCCUGGGGAGUACGGCCGCAAGGCUGAAACUUAAAGGAAUUGGCGGGGGAGCACCACAAGGGGUGAAGCUUGCGGUUU
rnacentral:rRNA from 1 species